UGAGACAGAGAUCCACUUCAUCCUUCCAACAGGCAAGCAAGUCCAGUGGAAUUGUACCCUUCCAGUGUCCUACUGCAAAGCAGACCUUGAUGAAUCUUCGGAUGCUGCAGACUAUCUUCCAGACUCAUGUGGCAAUUCCUCGGAUGCUUCUAUUAUAAGUACUACAAGUUCUUGUAGUAAGGAAUAUAAAACCACAGAAAAGAAUCUCCACCACAAAUUGUCAGAGAACAAACCAUUAGGGAAUGUUACAGCACACAGUGGGGAUAGUACCACCAGUUCAGAGAAGCCAAGAACAUUAAGUUAUUCAAAGAUGCGCAGCAAUCCUUGUACUUCAGUAAUAAGCUGCAGUGCCAAUUCAUCAGAGAACACAUCACACCAGAAAAGCUCCAUAAAUGUCACACCUUUGUCAAUAACAGCAAAAGGAAGCAAGUACAACAAGAAGCAAUUUUGUCUUUAUUGUAAAAAGGCCAUUUAUAAAUUGGCAAGACACCUCGAAUCCAUCCACAGUGAAAAGCCUGAUGUUGCAAUGGCUUUCAGUUUUAAUAAAGGAUCCCGCAAAAGAAGAGAGUUGUUACGCUCUCUUAAGAAGAGAUGAAACUUUGACCAUAAUACUGAAGUGGCAAGCUGUGGCACUGGAGAGAUGGUUGCCUGUAAAAGACCUAGUAAUGCAAAACCAUCUGAUGACUACCGUGACUGCAAAUUUUGCGAAGGACUGUAUGCAAGAAAUUCCCUAUGGAGACAUGUGAGAAACUGCCCGAAGAAGUCUGUUGAGGGAGAGCCUCAAGUUGGGCGAAAACGGAUUAAACUGCACUUACCAAGACCUGACUCAGUUAAGGAAACUGUUUGGAAGAUUGCUUGUGAAAUGAACCAGGAUGACGUUUCCUCGGUUGUAAGGAGUGAAACUGAAUUCCUUUGUAUCGGCGAGUCACUGUUG